GGUCCAAAUUUGAAAUAGAGUAGUUUAGUAGGGUCAGAUGAUCAUUCUAUCUACUCUACUUCAAGUUUGUGCCC
rfam:Haemonchus contortus, ISE/inbred ISE, WGS project CAVP01000000 data, contig: Hcontortus_37087